rnacentral:rRNA from 1 species
GACGAACGCUGGCGGCGUGCCUAAUACAUGCAAGUCGAACGCUUUUUCUUUCACCGGAGCUUGCUCCACCGAAAGAAAAAGAGUGGCGAACGGGUGAGUAACACGUGGGUAACCUGCCCAUCAGAAGGGGAUAACACUUGGAAACAGGUGCUAAUACCGUAUAACACUAUUUUCCGCAUGGAAGAAAGUUGAAAGGCGCUUUUGCGUCACUGAUGGAUGGACCCGCGGUGCAUUAGCUAGUUGGUGAGGUAACGGUUCACCAAGGCAACGAUGCAUAGCCGACCUGAGAUGGUGAUCGGCCACACGGGGACUGAGACACGGCCCAGACUCCUACGGGAGGCAGCAGUAGGGAAUCUUCGGCAAUGGACGAAAGUCUGACCGAGCAACGCCGCGUGAGUGAAGAAGGUUUUCGGAUCGUAAAACUCUGUUGUUAGAGAAGAACAAGGAUGAGAGUAGAACGUUCAUCCCUUGACGGUAUCUAACCAGAAAGCCACGGCUAACUACGUGCCAGCAGCAGCCGCGG